rnacentral:rRNA from 1 species
GUGAACGCUGGCGGUAGGCCUAACACAUGCAAGUCGAACGGCAGCACAGUAAGAGCUUGCUCUUACGGGUGGCGAGUGGCGGACGGGUGAGGAAUACAUCGGAAUCUACUUUUUCGUGGGGGAUAACGUAGGGAAACUUACGCUAAUACCGCAUACGACCUACGGGUGAAAGCAGGGGAUCUUCGGACCUUGCGCGAUUGAAUGAGCCGCUGUCGGAUUAGCUAGUUGGCGGGGUAAAGGCCCACCAAGGCGACGAUCCGUAGCUGGUCUGAGAGGAUGAUCAGCCACACUGGAACUGAGACACGGUCCAGACUCCUACGGGAGGCAGCAGUGGGGAAUAUUGGACAAUGGGCGCAAACCUGAUCCAGCCAUACCGCGUGGGUGAAGAAGGCCUUCGGGUUGUAAAGCCCUUUUGUUGGGAAAGAAAAGCAGCAGGUUAAUACCCCGCUGUUCUGACGGUACCCAAAGAAUAAGCACCGGCUAACUUCGUG